rnacentral:rRNA from 1 species
CCUAUGGGGGGCUGCAGUGGGGAAUAUUGGACAAUGGGCGAAAGCCUGAUCCAGCCAUGCCGCGUGUGUGAAGAAGGCCUUCGGGUUGUAAAGCACUUUCAGUGGGGAAGAAAGCCUUGGGGCUAAUACCCUCGAGGAAGGACAUCACCCACAGAAGAAGCACCGGCUAACUCCGUGCCAGCAGCCGCGGUAAUACGGAGGGUGCGAGCGUUAAUCGGAAUUACUGGGCGUAAAGCGCGCGUAGGCGGUCUGAUAAGCCGGUUGUGAAAGCCCCGGGCUCAACCUGGGAACGGCAUCCGGAACUGUCAGGCUAGAGUGCAGGAGAGGAAGGUAGAAUUCCCGGUGUAGCGGUGAAAUGCGUAGAGAUCGGGAGGAAUACCAGUGGCGAAGGCGGCCUUCUGGACUGACACUGACGCUGAGGUGCGAAAGCGUGGGUAGCAAACAGGAUUAGAUACCCCUGUAGUC